AAUAAAGUGCCUGAUUAAAGGAAUAUUUUGAUAGAAUAUAUCAAGUAUUUUAAAAAUACCUUUAUUA
rnacentral:tRNA from 1 species